GGGUGCGACCAUACCAGCACUAAUGCAUCGAAUUCCAUCAGAACUCAGAAGUUAAGCGUGCUUAGGCGAGAGUAAUACUAGGAUGGGUGACCCCCUGGGAAGUCCUCGUGUUGCCCCCC
rnacentral:rRNA from 1 species